rnacentral:lncRNA from 1 species
UGUAACACUCACCGCGAGGUUCCGCGGCUUCAUUCUUGAACAAUGAAUCCUCCAAUGUACCUGACUCUCCCUUUGCGAAGAGCAUCUCCGUGGCAGAAAUCUGAAAAUGCCCCUGGGGAGACACAUGCACAAGACAGUUCGUGAGCCACACAUCUCCCCACACCAAGCUCCUCCAUACAAGACCUCGGACUGCAUCACGUAAAUGCUUUUUCAGGGGCAAAAUCUAGAGAAUCUGAAACGAGCUAUCAGCUUCCCAGUUUGCACAAUUCAUCAAGAAAUUAUGCGGGGUCACUGGCACAAAUGAUGAGGCAUCUCCUGGAAGCUUAACUUCUUAUCCAUCCCAUCUCUUGGACAGAUGAUGCCAGUUAAUUACUUUGAAUAGAAGACUCACUGGUGGCACCUGCAGCUGCGGCGUUUUCCCCAAGGGGUCUGUCACACGCAGCCCAACUCAACUGGAGUCCUGAGAAGGUGAACAGACCAGGAUGGAUGGCCAGGGAACUCACCAGAAGUCCCCAGGCAUCAGAACAAGGUCGAAGCAUCCUGAUUAGGGUACCAGAGGCCCAGGCAGUACUUUUGGGGUAGACGAGGUACAGACCUUUGGCUCCUCACUGUCUUCAAGCCCACAAGAAGCAUAGAGCAGAAGAAGACAGAGGAGGGCCCAUCUGGCCCACUACCUGUUCUUGUAAAUAAAGCUUUAUUGAAGCCAGGUGCUCACCUUCUAGCACAUUCUUCAAGAGUUACUCUGAGGCAAGCCAGCCGCCAUGUCAUGAGGACACUCAAGCAGCACCAUGGAGAGGUCCGAUGGCGAGGAACAGAGGAUCCCCCUGCCGACAGCCAAUGAGGAACAGGCCUCCUGCCAACAGCCGUGUAAGGGGUCACCUUGGAAGCCAAUGGCCCCUCCCUGGUCAGGCUUUUACAUGACUGCAGUCCUGGCCAACAUCCUGACGGCAACCUCAUGAGAGACCUUGAGCCAGAGCCACCCACCUAAGCUGCUUAUAGGUUCCUGGCCCUCAGAAAUCACAUGAGAUCAUAAAUGUUUGCUCAAUUUGAGAUAUUUGUGAUGUAGCAAUAAAUAACAAACACACUUA